UACGGGGGGAGCAAGCGUUGUUCGGAUUUACUGGGCGUAAAGGGCGCGUAGGCGGUCGUGACAAGUCACUUGUGAAAUCUCCGGGCUUAACUCGGAACGGUCAAGUGAUACUGUCGGACUAGAGUACAGAAGGGGCAACUGGAAUUCUCGGUGUAGCGGUGAAAUGCGUAGAUAUCAGGAGGAACACCGGUGGCGAAGGCGGUUCUCUGGGCAUGUCCUGACGCUGAGGAGCGAAAGUGUGGGGAGCGAACAGG
rnacentral:rRNA from 1 species